rnacentral:tRNA from 1 species
CGGGGCGUGGCGCAACCUGGUAGCGCGUCGGUUUUGGGUACCGAAGGUCGCUGGUUCGAAUCCAGUCGCCCCGA